UUCGAACUAAUACUCUACUGACUGUUAGGUUACAGCGACUCAAAGCCGAUCGCAGGUAUAUAGCAGCGUGCGCACCAGCGGGUCUUACCGUACCACAGGUUCUUCGUAUUAACUGAAAGAAAGAACCACAGGUGCGAUGGUCGAUGAUUGACUCUAAACCUUUCGCGGCGUCAGAACCGUGCUCAGUAUACUCGUAAAAAAACAUACUUAUUUCAUUUACAAGUCAUCCUGCUAACAUUUUGCUUAUUUUUUACUGUUUAUCCUAGACGCGUGAACCACAACUUAGUUCCCAAACAGUGCUAGUUUUAGGCCACUUCUCUGAAUUAAUCCACGCUUUCCCAGAAAUUCACGACAUAUUACUACAGCUCCCAAACCAUGCCAGCGCAGACCGUCUUCAUCAUCAUCAAACAAUUCUGCUCGAAACAAACGAUAGGCGUGUUAUUGCAUUUCACUAAGGGAGCUAUUUUUUGCUGCUUAACAUUCCCGCGUAACCAAACAAUGUUAACUGGCCAUUAUUUUCAUUUGAAAACUCCUUAAAUAUAUAAAUAAACAAGACAAAGAGGGUUUGAGAAUGUUCCAGUUCAGUAUCAGAGCGUGAAUGGGCCAAAUUCGUCCCUGAAAAAAUGAAGAUACAAAUGAGCAGCAUCUCGGUGGUGCUUCGGAUGAUGUUCAUCCUCCUGCGACCACAUGGUAUAUAAGAUCCAGCAUCAAAGAAUCGAGCGAGGGGGCAGCACUGGCGAUCUUAUAAAAUCAUGGCCGCUUUAAGAUGUAAUCAAAAAGAGAUGGGAAUAUAUGUCUGCAUGCCUGUCUGCGUCUGUCUAGCAGCAGAUUUUAUUGACGUAACGUAGAAGAAGAAACGGAGAAUCAUUGUUGUUUUUGGUUUUAGGGCCAUCGCCAUGACUUCUACAGAACAAGCUCAUUCUCAUUUAUGCAUAUGCUAGAUCCAAUUGAAAUUACGUCGCCUUUAGUAACCGAAGCGUUAAAUAUCAUGUUUAUUUUGAUAUUUCUGAAAUCGUAAAAACCUGAACCCUUUUUAAUAACACAGAUAUCCGUUUUCAAAUAAGGCUCAUCAAUUACCUUAAUUAAAGCCGCAUCGUAUCGAUGCCUCGAUACAUUCAAAAUAUUAAAUUUCUGUAAUUUAUUGCUAUUCUUAUGAUAUUGCCUUUUAUUAACAAUUUAAAGACAGCCAUGGAAAGAGUUUAUUUCGAGUCGAAGAUUUAUGGCAAUGUCUGCAUAAUUUACGUCGCAAGAUGAAUACGUAAUAAGCCGUUUUAUCUAGGGAACCAUCGAAUUCUCAGACGUUGAAGGGAUAUUAUUCAAUUUUAUUAGUUUCGAAUUUAUUUCGAUAUGCACUUCAUCCUCAGUUUCCGUAGUCAGUAUUCACGUCUAAAUAACUGUUACAUGCAAAAAAUUACCAAAUUAAAUUCACAAGUGUAAUUUAGUUUGUUCCAAGCUUUUCGGCAGUGACGUAAUAAUUGUUAAUUGUUGUGCUACACGACAAUUUGUCUUUAAUCAAAUUGUUAAAUUCACAGCAACAAACCCAAUAAAAUUAAAUCUAAGUUGUAGAUCAAAAGGUUCCUUAGCCUAUUAGUAGGAGACAUCAAUGCGCGCGUAAGACAGUAACGUAAAUAUUUCGGUAUAAAAUCGGGCAUUUCGCACAAUUGGUAUGGUGUGUCUUAAAAUCCAAACGUUUGAUUUAUUGUAAUUCUUUAUCUUGUGAAUCUCCAUUUCGUAUAUUGAUUCUUCCUAACCAUUAACAGUUAGUGUUGACAUGUUUAUUGCGAGAACAGUUUUCCAGUACCUAAACGAGAUAUUGAAUCGGUAGGCGCCGUAAAUUAAACAUUGUAGAAAGCUUUCAAGCGGCCAAUAAAAAUUGACGAGCAUGCAUGUAAAGCAAGACACUAUGGAAACCCUGUACAUAAAUUAUGAGGGACUUUCAUGUUACAAUUUCCAUUGCGAUGAUAUAUUUUGUACGAUGACCAUAUGAUAAACCCCGCUUACUUACAGCCGUUGCGUGUUCAUAAUACAUGUACAGCAAUUUGUUUUGGCUUUAUUCUAGUUAGGGAUAUUUUCACUUUUUUUAACUUUUGCUCAAAAACUUUUUAUGAAGAGGCAACUUUUUCAGGAGUAACGUUUCAAUAAACUCUCAAACGAACGCUUCAGUUGCUUCAAGAAAGUCGCUUAUAAAACUUGUGCACGUUUUAUUACACGCAUUUUUCGCUUGAAAUUACAGGUGAUCGUUUAAAAGCUUCAGAGAAUUCCAUGCGGACCACCGUAUUUUGUCUAAGACUGUACACCUCCCAAAAAACUAAAGGGUUAAGAUACCAACUAUAAAAAGUCAAGUCCAUCUGAAAGAUAGUGACCUGCUUGUUUACUACUGAGAAGCUGUGAAAAUGAAAUGACGCGAUGCAUCCUUCGAGCAUAACAAAGAGAGAGCAACCAAUGAAAAAUAAACAGAUGAAAUAGAAAACUCCGCUGGCAAAAAAGUUGCCGAUUUACUUCAAAGUCCCAACUGCUCACAAGCGGAAAUAGAGGAUGGCAAAAAAAACGAGUGGACAUGCGAUGGCUGCCCCUAUCCAUAUAAGCACCAUACGAUUCUGGCAUACAAAUUACCAGUAAUGAACGGAGAUGCAAGUAAAAAAGUAGGCGUGGAUGACUGUCCGAUGGAUAUUCGCUUCAAAUGGACCAUCGGUUUAUAUUUGCCGAACCAGUGGCGUUGUACCUCCUUAUUGUAAAGGCUGUACAAUGUCGGCAAUUUUUACUUCAUUUGCAGUCGAUUUCGAUGCGAUAAAGUUUGAACUCAGACAGUUUAACAAACGCAAGUGAAUGACUGCAACAGACAUUUGUGUUAUUAUCACAUCAAAUAAAGUGCCGCGUUUUAUUUAAAAA